rnacentral:rRNA from 1 species
GACGAACGCUGGCGGCGUGCUUAACACAUGCAAGUCGAACGGAAAGGCCCUGCUUUUGUGGGGUGCUCGAGUGGCGAACGGGUGAGUAACACGUGAGUAACCUGCCCUUGACUUUGGGAUAACUUCAGGAAACUGGGGCUAAUACCGGAUAGGAGCUCCUGCUGCAUGGUGGGGGUUGGAAAGUUUCGGCGGUUGGGGAUGGACUCGCGGCUUAUCAGCUUGUUGGUGGGGUAGUGGCUUACCAAGGCUUUGACGGGUAGCCGGCCUGAGAGGGUGACCGGCCACAGUGGGACUGAGACACGGCCCAGACUCCUACGGGAGGAAGCAGUGGGGAAUAUUGCACAAUGGGCGGAAGCCUGAUGCAGCGACGCCGCGUGAGGGAUGACGGCCUUCGGGUUGUAAACCUCUUUCAGUAGGGAAGAAGCGAAAGUGACGGUACGGGCAGAAGAAGCACCGGCUAACUACGUG